GAUGAACGCUGGCGGCAUGCCUAAUACAUGCAAGUCGAACGGAUAUCUUCGGAUAUGAGUGGCGAACGGGUGAGUAACACGUAGGGAACCUGCCUGCAUGAGCGGGAGAACUUCUGGAAACGGAAGCUGAUACCGGAUGAGCAAAGAGGAGGCAUCUUCUUUUUGGAAAAGGGGACAAGAGUCCCGCAUGCAGAUGGACCUGCGGUGCAUUAGCUGGUUGGAGAGGUAACGGCUCACCAAGGCGACGAUGCAUAGCCGGCCUGAGAGGGCGGACGGCCACACUGGGACUGAGACACGGCCCAGACUCCUGCGGGAGGCAGCAGUAGGGAAUUUUCGUCAAUGGGGGGAACCCUGAACGAGCAAUGCCGCGUGAGCGAGGAAGGUCUUCGGAUCGUAAAGCUCUGUUGCCGGGGACAAAAGGCAGAAAGAGUGGAAAGCUUUCUGAGUGAUGGUACCCGGCGAGGAAGUCACGGCUAACUACGUGCCAGCAGCCGCGGUAAUACGUAGGUGGCGAGCGUUAUCCGGAAUGAUUGGGCGUAAAGGGUGCGCAGGCGGCCGGGCAAGUCCGCAGUAAAAACUGGAGGCUCAACCUUCAGGGGCUGCGGAAACUGUCCGGCUGGAGAGCAGGAGAGGACGGUGGAACUCCAUGUGUAGCGGUAAAAUGCGUAGAUAUAUGGAAGAACACCGGUGGCGAAGGCGGCCGUCUGGCCUGCAUCUGACGCUGAGGCACGAAAGCGUGGGGAGCAAAUAGGAUUAGAUACCCUAGUAGUCCACGCUGUAAACGAUGAGGACCAAGUGUUGGAGGUAAAACUUCAGUGCUGCAGUCAACGCAGUGAGUCCUCCGCCUGGGGAGUAUGCACGCAAGUGUGAAACUCAAAGGAAUUGACGGGGGCCCGCACAAGCGGUGGAGUAUGUGGUUUAAUUCGAAGCAACGCGAAGAACCUUACCAGGCCUUGACAUAGGAUGCGAAGGGAUAGAGAUAUGCCGGAGGGUAUCAUCCAUACAGGUGGUGCAUGGUUGUCGUCAGCUCGUGUCGUGAGAUGUUCAGUUAAGUCUGGCAACGAGCGCAACCCUCGUGAUAUGUUACCAGCAGAAGAUGGGGACUCAUAUCAGACUGCCGGUGAGAAACCGGAGGAAGGCGGGGAUGACGUCAAAUCAUCAUGCCCCUUAUGGCCUGGGCUACACACGUACUACAAUGGCGGCCACAGAGGGCAGCGACUCUGCAAGGAGGAGCGAAUCCCAAAAAAGCCGUCCCAGUUCGGAUCGGAGUCUGCAACCCGACUCCGUGAAGAUGGAAUCGCUAGUAAUCGCGGAUCAGCAUGCCGCGGUGAAUACGUUCUCGGGCCUUGUACACACCGCCCGUCAAACCAUGGGAGUGGGCAAUGCCCGAAGCCGGUGGCGCAACCCGAAAGGGAGCGAGCCGUCGAAGGCAGGGCCGAUGACUGGGGUUAAGUCGUAACAAGGUAUCCCUACGGGAACGUGGGGAUGGAUCACCUCCUUUCUAAGGAGAAAGCGAAGAAGGAAAAGGUGGAGACGUGAGGAAAGAGCCUGUCAAGUUUCCAGGGAUCGUCCUGAGGAUCGAUCUUUGAAAACCGGAAAAAGAGAAAAAGACACAACAGAAAAGGUCUAAAGUAAAGUUGUGGAAAAAGAUGACACUGAAAACAGAAGAACAGUUCAUAAAAAGAAGAAAUCUCGAAAACAAGCAUCAGAAAAAGAAGAAAAAGAGAACAAGCUGAUCAAGGAGGCAAGGGCGUACGGAGAAUGCCUUGCCACUCGUAACUGAAGAAGGACGCACCGAACUGCGAAAAGCGGCGCCGAGCUGUAAGGAAGCGAAGACGCGCCGGUAUCCGAAUGGGGGAACCCGGCAUCCGAUACAAGGAUGCCAUCCUGAAAGGGAGAGGUACCCGGGGAACCGAAACAUCCAAGUACCCGGAGGAAAAGAAAACAAAAGUGAUUCCCCGAGUAGCGGCGAGCGAAAGGGGAGAAGCCCAAACCAUAGAGAUAUGGGGUUGAAGGAGCUGCGAUGAAAGCGGAAGCGGAAAAAGAGCCGAAUGUGAUGGGAAGCACAGCCAGAGACGGCGAGAGCCCGGUAGGCGAAAGAGGAAGCGGAAGCGAGCAGGAUCCUGAGUACGACGAGACACGAGGAAUCUUGUCGGAAGCAGGCAGGACCAUCUGCCAAGGCUGAAUAUAAACGAGUGAGCGAUAGAGAAGA
rnacentral:rRNA from 1 species